rnacentral:lncRNA from 1 species
GCUGUGUGACCUCAGAUCUGACUGCUCUGGAAAGAAACAGCUGUGAGUAGCAUUUUGGAAUUCCUUUCUGCUGUGGCAUGAGAGUUGCAUUUUACCUCAGUCUUUUCACCUUAGCUCUUGCCUGACACAAGCUGCAGGCUUGCUUGUGCGUGCUCUAGCACCUUGCCUUGCCUGCUUCACUUCAGACUGGCCUUAUAGUCUGAUUGGUCAGACAAUCAGGCUGUUGGCUGGCCAUGGUCACUGUCACAAAAUCUGCACUGCCCUUCUUAUUCAGGUUUUUAUGACACACCCUGUGGAUCUACAUUUCACAGAAUCAGAGAAUUUCUUUCAUCUUCUUUUCAAGAGAAAAGCAUGUGGACCCUCAACCUUUUAAUAAGUCCCUAGAUAUCUUGGGAUAAGUUUACUCCCUUGGAACUCUGUAGCUGAAAUGUGGUAAGAAUAUCUCCGAGCAUAUUUUAUUGUGAUCACAUGAACAGAGAUGAAGACUUGAAGAAAUAAUACGUGCAUGCACAUUUCAUGGACAUUUCAUAUAAAAAUAUGGACAUGCCACUAUCUGAAUAACAUCUCUUUUAAAUGAAGGUCUGAAUCUCUCAAUGGAAUAUUGAUGUUACUAUUAUACAUGGAAGCUUUUCUUCUAAUUAUUGCCUUCCUCUUCUUUUGAUGUGCAAUAAGAUUAAUGUCUGUAGGCAAAUUUGCUGUGGAACAUGUAGGCAGUCAAACUGAAAACUAAUCAUGCAUGUCUCUUAUAUUCUCUUGUAAUAAAUGGUGUAUUUUUUACA